UUGGGAAUAUUGGACAAUGGGGGAAACCCUGAUCCAGCAAUGCCGCGUGGGUGAUGAAGGCCUUCGGGUUGUAAAGCCCUUUUGGCGGGGACGAUGAUGACGGUACCCGCAGAAUAAGCCCCGGCUAACUUCGUGCCAGCAGCCGCGGUAAUACGAAGGGGGCUAGCGUUGUUCGGAAUUACUGGGCGUAAAGGGCGCGUAGGCGGCCGUGCAAGUCAGAUGUGAAAGCCCUGGGCUCAACCCAGGAGGUGCAUUUGAUACUGCAUGGCUAGAGUGUCGGAGAGGAUGGUGGAAUUCCCAGUGUAGAGGUGAAAUUCGUAGAUAUUGGGAAGAACACCGGUGGCGAAGGCGACCAUCUGGACGACAACUGACGCUGAGGCGCGAAAGCGUGGGGAGCAAACAGGAUUAGAUACCCUGGUAGUCCACGCCGUAAACUAUGCGUGUUGGACGUUGGCGAGCCUAGCUCGUCGGUGUCGCAGCUAACGCGUUAAACACGCCGCCUGGGGUGUACGGCCGCAAGGUUA
rnacentral:rRNA from 1 species